AAACGUCAUCCCCACCUUCCUCCGAGUUGUCCCCGGCAGUCUCUUAUGAGUCCCCGGCAUAACCCGCUGGUAACAUAAGACAAGGGUUGCGCUCGUUGCGGGACUUAACCCAACAUCUCACGACACGAGCUGACGACAGCCAUGCACCACCUGUCAUGGGCCCUUUCGGACACCGUAUCUCUACGGCUUUUCCCAUGAUGUCAAACCCAGGUAAGGUUCUUCGGGUCGCAUCGAAUUAAGCCGCAUGCUCCGCCGCUUGUGCGGGGACCCGUCAAUUCCUUUGAGUUUUAGCCUUGCGGCCGUACUCCCCAGGCGGGGCACUUAAUGCGUUAGCUUCGGCACGGCAACCGUUGAUCGGGUCGCCACACCUAGUGCCCAACGUUUACAGCGUGGACUACCA
rnacentral:misc_RNA from 1 species